rnacentral:lncRNA from 1 species
AUGUCUGGACCUAGAACCACAGCAUGUAACCUCGGAAGCAGUGAGACACCAGCCAGCAUGGACAAGCAGCAGGCACUUGCUCUAUACCAGGUGAGGGUGUGGAGACAUGACGUGGUGCAGGGACACCAGCACCCAGUCCUAGUUCUGGUCCCUCUCAGCCUUGUUAGGUCCUGGUUCCUAAGAUUCCAGGGAACAUCCCCACAGCCUCACAAUAAGAUCCUCCUUUCCUGCAUAUGCUAGCUUGGAUGGGAUCCUCUGUUCUGUAAUCAGUAUGGCAACAGAGCAGAUGAAAUAUUUAAUGGUCUUUCAUGAGCACUAAAUUUUGUUUUUUACAAACUAGGUUAGAUUCUGUCAAAUAAUCGUCUAAUGGUGUAUUCGAGUGUAUAUUAAGGAUCUGAUUCAUUCUAUACCCACUAACCAUAACCAAACAGAUUAAGUUUUCUUUCUCAGAAUCUAAUCCUUCAGUUUCUUGGAAGCUGGACUAGUUUCAGAGCAUCUACAAACAUUUCUGGAAUAUUUAACUUACCCUGAAAUAACAGACGAUAGACAGUAAUUCCCUAAAUUAUUUUCCCCAGUUGUUGCAAAAUAAAGCAAAUGCAGAGUUUCUAGGACUAUAAAAGGAACUCAACUUCCCGGAUCCUAGUAAAGAAACAGGAAACAGCUUGAAGCUCUCUGGUUUGUUUUAUGGCUCAUGAAAAAGCUUUAGCCCAACUUGGCAAAAGAAAGGCAGGGAAAGAGUUCAUAUGGCUCUGCACAAACCCAACCCAAUUACUAAUUUCAUGUUAGCCACUCUUUAUGUGGAAUGAGAGGGCUCACAGAUGCCCUGCCCUCCUUCUUUAUGGACAUAGAUCCAUUUUUCAUGAUAAAAACCUAGAAUAAAAAUUACCUUUGUUUUUAAAAUCUGGCAAAUCAUUUCAAAAUGAAGAUUUUAAAGGAAUUUAAAUAAUUGGACAUAUUAACAAAAUUAUCUGACUUACUAUAUUGACAAGAAAUGCUUUUACUUGGUUGAAUGCAAACAGAAUUGCUUUGUUUCUUAAAUCAGUUUAAGAUAUGAACAAUGAUUUCAGACAGUACCAAGUCCUAGUAACUUAGAAGAAAAUUAGUAUUAUUAAUGACUGAAGCCAUAUGAAGACAUAAAUGAUUAUAAAAUGCAAUUACAUUACUACAUUCCUAUGUACCCUAAUAAAAAGUUCUAUUCUUCUGUUGCUGUGUAUAGUACUCCAUAGAAACAAAUUUUUCAGAUAAAUCUUAAAAGUUUCAAGAAUCACACUAACUGUAUUCUCCAUGUGACCCUAUCUUCUUCAUAAAGUAGUCCCCCCGUAUUCACAGUUUCAUCUUCUACAGUUUCAAUUACCCACAGUCAGCUUUGGUUUGAAAACAUUAAGUGGAAAAUUCCAGAAAUAAACCAUUCAUAAGUUUUAAAUUGUGUGCCAUUCUGGGUGGUGUCAUGAAAUCUCACACCGUCCUGCUCUGUCCUGCCUGGGAUGCAAAUCCUCCCUUUGUCAAGCGAGUCCUACACUACCCGCCCCUUGGUCACUCAGUAGCCGUCUUGGUUAUCGGAUCACCUGUUGAGAUAUCACAGUGCUUGUGUUUAAAGAACCCUUAUUGCACUUCAUAAUAGCCCCAAAGUGCAAGAGCAGUGAUGGUGGCCAUCUUGCUAUAACUGUUUCAUUUUAUUAUUAUUCUCGUUAAUCUCUUACUGCACCUAAUUUAUAAAUUAAACUUUAUUAUAAGUGUGUAUAUACAGAAAAAAAAACAUAGUAUCCAUAAGGUUUGGUAGUAUCCACAGUUUCAGGCAUCCACUGGAGGUCUAUCCCCUGAGGUAAGGAAGCCUACUAUACAUUAACAUGUGUCUUGGUAACUCACAGAUAUGCUGCAUGAUAGAACGCUAUGCCCUCUCACAGAUAGGUCCCACCUCCAGCCUUCCCCUGCUGCCAUCUAACA